rnacentral:rRNA from 1 species
GUUGAACGCUGGCGGCAUGCCUUACACAUGCAAGUCGAACGGCAGCACGGGGCAACCUGGUGGCGAGUGGCGAACGGGUGAGUAAUGCAUCGGAACGUACCUUUCAGUGGGGGAUAACGUAGCGAAAGUUACGCUAAUACCGCAUAUUCUGUGAACAGGAAGGCAGGGGAUAGCAAGACCUUGCGCUGAUUGAGAGGCCGAUGUGAGAUUAGCUAGUUGGUGAGGUAAAGGCUCACCAAGGCGACGAUCUGUAGCGGGUCUGAGAGGACGAUCCUCCACACGGGAACUGAGACACGGUCCAGACUCCUACGGGAGGCAGCAGUGGGGAGUUUUGGACAAUGGGGGCAACCCUGAUCCAGCCAUGCCGCGUGAGUGAAGAAGGCCUUCGGGUUGUAAAGCUCUUUCGGCCGGGAAGAAAUCGCACGGGCUAAUACCCUGUGUGGAUGACGGUACCGGAAUAAGAAGCACCGGCUAACUACGUGCCAGCCGCCGCCGUAACAC